rfam:Stegodyphus mimosarum contig84967, whole genome shotgun sequence.
GCCUUCAUGGUGUAGUAGUCAGCACGCUCGGGUCGUAUUCGAGAGGUCCGUGGUUCGAGUCCCGGAGAGGACA